rnacentral:pre_miRNA from 1 species
CCAAGGGAAUAAGUGAAGCUGCCAGCAUGAUCUAUCUAGCUAGCCUUGGUUUUGGCAUUACAUUGUUUGAUGGUUUGGUCUAGUUUGAGCAUGAGAUUCAUAUGUUUUAUGUACAUGUAAAGCAACCCUUGCUGGCUAGUUAGGUCAUGCUCGGACAGCCUCACUCAUUCCUGUU